GCCAAAUCCAACUUAAAAAGAGUUUGGUUUGUUGCAGUAUUGACUUUUAUCUAUCACCCUUGACUGAUGGCU